UUUGCUGGUGUAGUCUUCUCUUUAUGGUAGUCUAACACAUCUAUACUUACAUUCUGGAGUAUGUAUAAAAAAAGACGAUAAUUCCAAAAUGAAUCACCAAAUACAAUGCCCUCAAAUUAGAGCUGAUAGUCUGCCCUUUAACAUUAUGUUCAUUAUUUUAUUUCACAUGAAAGUGCAGAGCCAAAACAACAAAAAUUAUGUUUCUGUUACAAUACUUUUUCCAGACACAUACAAUUUGUACAUUGUUUCAGUGUCAGAGUUCCUUUUAAAUAUCAGAAUCCAUGAAGUGAAUGGAAAUAAUAAUUUAAACUAAUUUGUGUCCUACUACAGUAACAGUCAAGAAGGUUCAAACCUUCAAGAACACACCGAGGACACAGGAGUCAGAAGUUCCCCGUUCCUGCACCUAUCAGGGAUUUAUGUGCAUGAAUAAUUCAUGAGAUUUAUUUUGCUGACAAAAUGGCCGUUUGCGAAAUUGAGCCACUCAAAGUUUUGUGUUCUUUUCCACGCUUAAUGAAGCCGCGCCGAUACGUUGUGCUUGAGGGGGUGACCAGAAGCGGUUUCUGAAGAUAUUCAUGAGCCACUGAGCUCAGUUAUGAGGUUCCCAGUGAAAACACUACGCCUCUCGCCGCUCCUAAUGGCCGGCCAGCGUGCCCAUGCAUACAUAAGGCCCCUGCAUGCCCAGCCCCCAAAUCGCAGAGCAAGCCAUGCAGUGACCCAGUCAGCACUUUUUGCCCAAAACCUUGACCAAGAGGUAUAAGACCUGAUCUUGAUUUUGAGGCAUUCUUGUGUCAUGUAUUUAAGGCUGCAUGUAAGUACAUUUCUGCUCACUAAGAACAAGACUGAAAACAUAUUCCAAGAAGAUGGGAACUGGUGCCCUGACCCUAUUGCUGUGUGCUUUGUUCCUCACUAGGUGGCGCCAGUGAAAAGAGAUGUAGUGACAACUGUAAAUUUGCUAGGUCCACUGGGAUUAUUCCAGGUGGCUCACAAUCAUUUAGUGCCUCAACAAAAGCAGCACUGUCCCAUGCUUCUGGACAGGGACUUGAGAUCCACUCAUUCAUUCCCUGUAUACCAAUAAAAACAGGUGCACCAUCAUGCAAAUGGCUAGCUGUCUUAUAAAUGGAGACUGUCUUCAACCAUCAGAGAGACCUGGGCCCUUCCUCUUUUUUUGCCUGGUGUUUUUAGGAACAACAAAUGAUCUCU